rnacentral:lncRNA from 10 species
CUUCACUUAGGGCAUGAGCAAGAUUAAUUUUUUCAGCAAAGAAGGCUCCAACAUGGCUGAAUAGUGUCAUUUUGUACUCAUCUGCUCCACUAAGAAGAACCAAAAGAGUGGGUAUUUAAUCAACUUUGGAUAGAUUAUCCAGGAGAGAAUACUGGAAUUCAACAGAAAGGUGACAGGAAAUACCUAAAGCAAGGAAGAAGAUGGAAGUGAGGCAGCCUGCUUGACUGGGAUCAGCUGGGAGCUGAGAGGCUCCCCAAUAUGGGGAAAGGUGCUUGAAGAGAGACAACACUUGAAAACAUAAUGGCCAGAUGAUCUCAGGAUGCAAGAAUCCUUCAGAUGUUUGCCGAGAACUAUUGAAAGAUGCUUCAAUUUGACAAAAGCAGGAAAUGUUAAUUUCAGCUCUUUUAUAAAUAGAGGGAUGAUCCGUAAAGGGAAAAUUGUUGUCACAGCAAAUGUACACUUGAGUGAUUCAAAC